CGGUUUUAGAUGGGCAUGCGUGACAUUAGCUAGUUGGUGAGGUAACGGCUCACCAAGGCUCCGAUGUCUAGGGGUUCUGAGAGGAUUAACCCCCACACUGGUACUGAGACACGGACCAGACUCCUACGGGAGGCAGCAGUAAGGAAUAUUGGGCAAUGGACGCAAGUCUGACCCAGCCAUGCCGCGUGAAGGAUGACGGCCCUAUGGGUUAUAAACUUCUUUUGUACGGGAAAAACCUUCGAACGUGUUCGAAGCUGAUGGUACCGUAAGAAUAAGCAUCGGCUAACUCCGUG
rnacentral:rRNA from 1 species